rnacentral:rRNA from 1 species
GCAGCCGCGGUAAUUCCAGCUCCAAUAGCGUAUAUUAAAGUUGUUGUGGUUAAAAAGCUCGUAGUUGAACCUUGGGCCUGGCUGGCCGGUCCGCCUCACCGCGUGUACUGGUCCGGCCGGGCCUUUCCCUCUGUGGAACCCCAUGCCCUUCACUGGGCGUGGCGGGGAAACAGGACUUUUACUUUGAAAAAAUUAGAGUGCUCCAGGCAGGCCUAUGCUCGAAUACAUUAGCAUGGAAUAAUAGAAUAGGACGUGCGGUUCUAUUUUGUUGGUUUCUAGGACCGCCGUAAUGAUUAAUAGGGACAGUCGGGGGCAUCAGUAUUCAAUUGUCAGAGGUGAAAUUCUUGGAUCUAUUGAAGACUAACUACUGCGAAAGCAUUUGCCAAGGAUGUUUUCAUUAAUCAGGAACGAAAGUUAGGGGAUCGAAGACGAUCAGAUACCGUCGUAGUCUUAACCAUAAACUAUGCCGACUAGGGAUCGGACGAUGUUAUUUUUUGACUCGUUCGGCACCUUACGAGAAAUCAAAGUGCUUGGGCUCCAGGGGGAGUAUGGUCGCAAGGCUGAAACUUAAA